rnacentral:lncRNA from 10 species
AUGUUUUGUGUUCCAAGGAAACCAUACAAACCAAUAACUAAGUCUCCUAUGAAAAAAGAAGAAAGUGACCAAAUCUUGCAAGCAAGUCUGUAUGCUGAGGAAGAAGGUUUCUUAUCAAUAGUAAUUUAUUUGCGGAAUUCUACUAGUGCAUGUGGAGAGAAGAUAAACAUGGCUGCUGCGUGGAGUCAUAAACCUCAGAGGAAGAUGAGAAUGAGAUGAAAUGUAUAUGUAACCCUUGUGUAUAGCAAGUUUGGAAAGAAAUAAAAAGCGUAUCUGGCAGAUUAUGAUAAAGUUUCUCUCUAUUUACUUUAUUGAUAUAGUCUCAGGUUUGCAUUGGGUGAUGAAUAAUAGAUUGGGGGAAGAUGUCCUUUGUUUAUUCAUUCAUUUCAUCAACAAAUAUUUAAUGAGUACCUACUAUAUGCCACAAAGAGUAUAAAUCUAG